AAAAAUUCAGUUUUAUGAAUGUAUAUUACGUCACGCAUCUCCCCCAUUUUUCUCUUUUUGGAAAGGAGUUACGGUCGUGGAAGAGGUAAAAAAGCUAUUUAAACAUCAUUCGGAAACGUCAAUUGUUUUCAGUUCGAACAGUCCGCUACACGCUUAGAUGCUUUCUGUAUAGGAAAGAUGAAGGAAUGUCAAGAUAGAAAUAGAACAACUACAGUUCAUUGGUCCAAAUAGGAGAAGUGUGUGUGUGCGAAUUCUCUUCCUACACAAUCGAAGGCUACUACGUAGUUCUAGGAGGGUGCUUAUAAAGUAGUAUUAUAUAAACAAGACUAAAGAAAGAAUAUGAGAGUGUUAUUAUUAAUUGCCACAUUUUUGGCAAUGGGAUGGCUGGAUGUAGCAUACGCAAAUCCUGAAAAACUUCCCAAUAAAUCGAAAGAGUGGAUGCAAUAUCCUGAAAAAUACAUAUAUUAUCCAUCUCCUCUAAAGAAACCCGCUCCAGAAAAGCAGGAGGGCGCCAUUUUGUAUCCAAAGCAAUCGAAACAAUCGGAAAAAGUUAUAAAAUUUUUUCCUAUACCCAGACCUUAUAUUUUGAGGCAGGAAUCAAUUAGACUGGCAAAAAUUUUGGAAGAAUAAAACAAGAAAAACUGAUUCAUUAGUCAUGAAUUAUUCAGGAAGAGGGCAUUUUUGUUUAUUUGUAUAAUUAAUUUUCUAAUAAUAUAUUACACAAUUGUUAAUUGGGGAUUGAUUCUUUUUAAGUUCAUUUUUAUUUAAUUUGUAAAAAAAAAACAAAAACAAAAAACUAUAUGAAAAAUUUAAUUACUACAAUGUACAACAUUAGCGCCAUCUGCUGCUGUAAAUAA